rnacentral:rRNA from 1 species
UACGGAGGGUGCAAGCGUUGUCCGGAAUCAUUGGGCGUAAAGAGUUCGUAGGUGGUUUGUUAAGUUAGGUGUUAAAUUCCGAGGCUCAACUUCGGUACGGCACUUGAUACUGGCAGACUUGAAUGCGGUAGAGGUAAAGGGAAUUCCUGGUGUAGCGGUGAAAUGCGUAGAUAUCAGGAGGAACAUCGGUGGCGUAAGCGCUUUACUGGGCCGUUAUUGACACUGAGGAACGAAAGCCGGGGUAGCAAAU